rnacentral:ncRNA from 1 species
AAAUUUUGUUUUUAAUAAUGAGGCCAAAAUCAUAGUGAACCUAUGGUUAUAAAUCAUCAAAUUGACGGGAAUCCCCUAAAGCAAUCUUAACCAAGUAAGUAUGGUAACAUAACUUAUGGCACAGGUAAUGACUCGUGGUAUGGUAAAAUCAAGAUUUAUAAUUCAAUGGGCAAUCCGCAGCCAAGUACCUUAUAAUAAACUAAUAACGGUAUGCAGUUCAUCGACUAAACGGUGAUUGGUGUUAUAAACACAAUGCUUAAGAUAUAGUCAAACCCCACCACCCGAUACCAGGGG